ensembl:lncRNA
GUAUAACUAAAUGCAUGUAUACAUUUGUAUGAUACAUAGUAUAGUUAAUUAAUAGUGUUUAAAUAGCGCAGUGAUGCUCUGUUGCGGGCAGUAAUGCAUAUCCCCAUACAGAAGCCAAGAAACAUGCCGUUUGUAUUUAGCUGGGUAGGCUUAGUGACACGGAUUAAUCUUUCAGAUGGAAUUGCAACACACAGGGCUGUUAGAAGAAAACCCUCAGUGGAAAAAGAAAAAAAAAAAAGAAAGAAAGAAAAAGAAAGAAAAACAAAGAAGGGCUGUUUAAAUCCAGAACAAAUAUGAAGUUGAAGGUCAGGGAUGCAUGGAAGGUGCUGAACCCGCAGCAGGUCACUUCUCUCAGCAGCUUGUGCCAGGGAAGGCAAUUUCCAGGUGAGUGUACUCGCAUAUGUGGUAUGUAUGGUAAUAAUAGAAAGACCAUCCUGGCUUUGUUAAAGGCAGAGAAAGUUUUGCCACUGACUCUGAUGGGGGUCAAGACUUCACUCUCUAGCAGCUCCAAAGAUCCAUGGAGAUCUGUUGCUAUACCAACAUGGACAACUGUAUAAUUGUUCCUAUAACUAUGCUACAACCUCACUGAUUGUAAUGGAACUCCACCAGUGAUUAAAGGCCUCAAAGAAUAAAUCUUAUAUAUGGCAGUAGUUGAAUACACAAAAAUAUUUUUGCUGAUUUCACACAAGUGUUCAAACUCUAAUUUCAUGUUCUUUUCUGUACAGUGAUGAAUCUGGUCUGCAUAUGGCUAAACUUCAUUUAAGUCUCCAGCCUGUCUUACUACAGUCUCACUGCUAUACAUGUAGCAAUCUUCAGAUUUCGAUUUUUGAGAACUGAAUGUAACUUAGACCACACUCACCCUUAGCUUCUUCCUUUCUUCUGAUUCAAAAACAGCCACUGCACGUGAGGUUUUGGAAACAUCCUAAGGACAGUUGGAAG